GACGAACGCNGGCGGCGUGCUUAACACAUGCAAGUCGAACGAAGAGCGAUGGAAGCUUGCUUCUAUCAAUCUUAGUGGCGAACGGGUGAGUAACGCGUAAUCAACCUGCCCUUCAGAGGGGGACAACAGUUGGAAACGACUGCUAAUACCGCAUACGAUCUAACCUCGGCAUCGAGGAUAGAUGAAAGGUGGCCUCUACAUGUAAGCUAUCACUGAAGGAGGGGAUUGCGUCUGAUUAGUUAGUUGGAGGGGUAACGGCCCACCAAGGCGAUGAUCAGUAGCCGGUCUGAGAGGAUGAACGGCCACAUUGGGACUGAGACACGGCCCAGACUCCUACGGGAGGCAGCAGUGGGGAAUCUUCCGCAAUGGACGAAAGUCUGACGGAGCAACGCCGCGUGAGUGAUGACGGCCUUCGGGUUGUAAAGCUCUGUUAAUCGGGACGAAAGGCCUUCUUGCGAAUAGUUAGAAGGAUGACG
rnacentral:rRNA from 1 species